rnacentral:lncRNA from 1 species
CGGCUUGGAGAACGAGGAGGGAGGACGAACUUGCAGUGCGAGGAAGAAGCAGUCAAUCGUCCGAACCUCAAUAGGAAAAGCGUCCUGUCCUUGCCAGUCCGUUCGGUCCCUACCAGUCGGCAGUCUUCACAAGCCAUCUGGCCUUCCAUACCACCUUGAGCGCUUCAACCUAUGUCCAUCCAGUCUUUAACCCUCGACACCACUUUAUACCUGAAACAUAAUGGCGCCCACCAUGGUGCCGAGCGUGCAUCCCCAUUUGUAACCAUAAGGAAAGGGUGAGUAGUGCUCUUAGGAACCUCAGGUGAACAUCUUCAGUCGCUCGGUCUUGGCAAUCAUGCCUCAACCUUUCGGCCAAAC